rnacentral:rRNA from 1 species
GACGAACGCUGGCGGCGUGCCUAAUACAUGCAAGUUGAGCGCUGAAGGUUGGUACUUGUACCAACUGGAUGAGCAGCGAACGGGUGAGUAACGCGUGGGGAAUCUGCCUUUGAGCGGGGGACAACAUCUGGAAACGAAUGCUAAUACCGCAUAAAAACUUUAAACACAAGUUUUAAGUUUGAAAGAUGCAAUUGCAUCACUCAAAGAUGAUCCCGCGUUGUAUUAGCUAGUUGGUGAGGUAAAGGCUCACCAAGGCGGUGAUACAUAGCCGACCUGAGAGGGUGAUCGGCCACAUUGGGACUGAGACACGGCCCAAACUCCUACGGGAGGCAGCAGUAGGGAAUCUUCGGCAAUGGACGAAAGUCUGACCGAGCAACGCCGCGUGAGUGAAGAAGGUCUUCGGAUCGUAAAACUCUGUUGGUAGAGAAGAACGUUGGUGAGAGUGGAAAGCUCAUCAAGUGACGGUAACUACCCAGAAAGGGACGGCUAACUACGUG